CUCUGUUGCGCAAUGGAUAGCGCGUUGGAAUUUAAAUCGAAAGGUCGUGGGUUCGAAUAUCACCUGGAAGG